UGUCAGCUAAAUGUAGCCUCAUGUCACUAAUAAUUAUUCAAAUGUUCAUGCUUUUAAUAAAUCGUUUUGGCCUGCCACCAUAUCAGUGAAUUUAAACUAAUGCUUGCAUUCAAAGUAUAAGGUGUGUGUGCGCGCGUUUAGGAGUGCACCUCCGGAGACUCAGUGUUUGAAAACUAAAAUACCCUCUCCCUCUCUCUCCCCCUCUCUCUCUCUCCCUCUCUCUACCCCUCUCCCUCUCGCUCUCUCUACCCCUCUCCCUCUUUCUCCCCCUCUUUUUGCCAAUAUCAGCCAGUGGAGGAUGUCCUCCUGGAGAGUUUUUUUAUUUUAUUUUUUUAAUUUUAUUUUUAUACCACACCGUGGUAUCGACUUUGGUAUCGAGUAUCGUGUACUUUUGGUGGCACUGACUACUAGAUUUUUGCUAUCGUGACAUACCUAGUUUAGAGUUUAAUUGACUUUAGUCGAGGAUUUUAGCACAUUUUUUCAACAUAUUAACAUUACCAUUAUCUUUACAUUUACAUUUAUUCACUUAGCAGACGCUUUUAUCCAAAGUGACUUACAAAUGAGAAAGAUACAAGCAAAGCGAUAUCAAGCAGAGAACAAUACAAGAAGUGCUACCAUACGAGAUCUAUUAAUUGAAUUCCAGAAGAAGCAAAGUGCAGAGUAGAGGUUUGUUUUUUGAAGAUGGUGAGAGAUUCUGCGGUCCGGAUUGAGAUUGGAAGUGCAUUCCACCACUGAGGAACAGUUAGUGUGAAGAUUUUGGAAAGGGACCUUGCACCACGCUGAGUUGGAACUGCUAAACGUCGGUCGCUAAUCAAUCGCAGAUUGCGAGAGGGAACGUAGGCCUUCAGGAGAGAGUUGAGGUGAGGUGAUGCCUGAAAAGCCCAGGUGUUGCUUGUUGAAUGGUGGCCUGCUGGGAGCAGGUGAGUCUUUAGAACUUCACCUUUGUUCGUGUGCCGGACGUUUGUUGAAUUAGUUGUAGUUGUUCG